UNUGACUUGAGUGCAGAAGGGGAGAGUGGAAUUCCAUGUGUAGCGGUGAAAUGCGUAGAUAUAUAGAGGANCACCAGUGGCGAAAGCGGCUCUCUGGUCUGUCACUGACGCUGAGGCUCGAAAGCAUGGGUAGCGANCAGGAUUAGAUACCCUGGUAGUNCACGCCGUAAACGAUGAGUGCUAGGUGUUAGGCCCUUUCCGGGGCUUAGUGCCGGAGCUAACGCAAUAAGCACUCCGCCUGGGGAGUACGACCGCAAGGUUGAAACUCAAAGGAAUUGACGGGGGCCCGCACAAGCGGCGGAGCAUGUGGUUUAAUUCGAAGCAACGCGAAGAACCUUACCAGGUCUUGACAUCCCGAUGCUAUUCUUAGAGAUAGGAAGUUACUUCGGUACAUCGGAGACAGGUGGUGCAUGGUUGUCGUCAGCUCGUGUCGUGAGAUGUUGGGUUAAGUCCCGCAACGAGCGCAACCCUUAUUGUUAGUUGCCAUCAUUAAGUUGGGCACUCUAGCGAGACUGCCGGUAAUAAACCGGAGGAAGGUGGGGAUGACGUCAAAUCAUCAUGCCCCUUAUGACCUGGGCUACACACGUGCUACAAUGGUCGGUACAACGAGUUGCGAGCCGGUGACGGCAAGCUAAUCUCUGAAAGCCGAUCUCAGUUCGGAUUGGAGGCUGCAACUCGCCUCCAUGAAGUCGGAAUCGCUAGUAAUCGCGGAUCAGCACGCCGCGGUGAAUACGUUCCCGGGCCUUGUACACACCGCCCGUCACACCACGAGAGUUUGUAACACCCGAAGUCGGUGAGGUAACCUUUUAGG
rnacentral:rRNA from 1 species